UACGAAGGGGGCUAGCGUUGCUCGGAAUCACUGGGCGUAAAGGGCGCGUAGGCGGCGUUUUAAGUCGGGGGUGAAAGCCUGUGGCUCAACCACAGAAUGGCCUUCGAUACUGGGACGCUUGAGUAUGGUAGAGGUUGGUGGAACUGCGAGUGUAGAGGUGAAAUUCGUAGAUAUUCGCAAGAACACCGGUGGCGAAGGCGGCCAACUGGACCAUUACUGACGCUGAGGCGCGAAAGCGUGGGGAGCAAACAGGAUUAGAAACCCUGUAGUCC
rnacentral:rRNA from 1 species